rnacentral:lncRNA from 1 species
GUAUACACUGCCCAUUGCUAUGGACCCCAUUCUUUGACCCCUACUAGAGAAGACACAGAGGCCUUGUGUGCUGAGCUGCAACUAGUUUGCCGAGUCUGCACUGACAUGGUACUGCUCUGUCAAGAUGCCGCUUCCAUGGCGACACACGGUGUGACACUUUGUUUCAGCUGGGUUCUUCAUACCAUACACCAGCAGUGACGCACCUUGAUCCUGUGCACACAAAGCUGUCGCUCAGCCAGGUGUUCUUAAUAUUACACCAUGAUGUAAUUUUAUGGAACCACGUGAGACUUAUAGAUAUGGAGGACAUUAUGCAAUGCAAAAGUUUACAAGCAUCUAGGCAUUUCAGAGUGAAUUAGUGGAAAGACCAUAGACCUCUCCCCCGUCUGAACCUGAGCUCUGCUGCUCUGAGACUUUCUGACUUCGGGACUCCUGGCUGAGCCUCAUAUGUGUAAAGGAGAAUAGUAGAUAUCCAUGAAAACAGUGGAAGCUUAGCACAAAGGAGACAACAGUAAGUUUCCUUUUCCCUUCAUAUUUUAAUACGGUGUGUGUGUGUGUGUGUGUGUGUGCCCGCGCGAGCGCGCAUGAGUACACAACUGUAAAAAUCAGGGAUUACUGGUUUUUCUAGCUUGGAAUUAAUUGUGGUAUUUUGAACACGAGACAAAAGGAACAAAUUUCAAGAUACAAAAAAUUCAGAGGCCAAUUGCAAUGGCUUUUCUAUUGGGCUUUGUUUUCUACCCCAAACAAAAUUAAUUACAUUGUCUACAUUGGCUUCAGCCCUCUGCCUGAUUUUUCUCUUUUGUUAUUCUUUCCUUUUUCUAUCUAAAUAUCCUGGCAGAGCUUACCUCUCUACCAUGCCCACCAUUUUUGCUCACAAUUAAUGUCUGUUUAAAACAGGAAAGUUGUUUGAUGCUUUAAAAAAAAUCUAUUUUGUAGCAGAAAAGAUUGGCAGCAUUGAGAGUCUGGCAUAAACAUUGAGAGUCUGUCAUAAACCCAUUAUCACAUUUGAGGUAGGUUUUGCCUCUAUUUUUAAAAGUGGUGACUUCAGAGAGGAGGUGUCUUUAGAGACAAACUCCUCGUAGGAACUUCAGUAAACAUUACAGUUCUACUGGUGGCAAUUUGUGAAUUUAUUCUGGGGGAAGAUUACACACAGAUCUCGAAGUGACAUACCUAAUUACAAC